ACUGCCGUAGCCAAGGACAUCUAGUGUACAUAUCUAUGGCCCCUCGAGGCUAGCGGGACGCUGGUUCCCUCGCCAAAAAACAUUAAUUUUUCUUAUAUACUUGUCGCAAAAAAUAAGUUUGUGUUUAACAAAAGGUUAUGACACUUACGCGUUUUGUCCGACAAUAUAAUCUUUACUGAUGAAAAAAAUUCGACAUCAUGUCAUCACCACCAAGCUCUUUCACACUUUAUUAAACUUUCAGGGCUCUCCGCUCUCACGCCACACAUCUAUUUGCUCACGCAUGCUCGUUCCCAUCAUUGAGAUCCCCAGGUGAUAUAAUAAAAUAAAAAGUCAUGAAAGAAUCGUUUAAUAUGCAUGUAAAAACUGUCCAACGCCUAUAUCUAUAAUCUAUCUAAAAGAGCUCGUCGAUGUCAAAAUGAUGCAAUGGCCAAUCAAAUCAAAGAAGGUGGAGUUAUUGUUUACUCUUUACUGAAGCUGACUGAGUGCGAAAUAGCCAGAGCGAGUGCGCGUCUGCACGAUGUUUCAGGUUGUUGACGGCGGUGAAAGAGUAAUACACGAUUGUACACAGUUUCUACAACCGAAAACUGAGGAUAGCGCGGAUAUUAAGUCACUAAAAGGGUGACAAUUACAAAGGAGACAUUGGAUGAGCCAUUAUUUAAAGUAGGAAUUUCUCUGGAUUUUCAAGUCCUUGGGAACAUUUGGAAUAGUGAAAUGGCACUGUCAGAGAUUUUCUCCUGUGACUAUACGAAAGCCAACUGACUUACAAGGGAGUAAGAAAAGAGUUUAUAUGCCAUUUGUCUCGGAUUGCAGAUGACAGAUUUAAACUGCUGCUGUGCAGGUAGCAGGAGGUGCUGAUGGUUCCAGCCUCACUGGUAGCAGUGCAAGUGAAGCGGCCACUAUCUUCAGCAAAGGCCUCGCGAAUCACCAAACGGGCAAAACUGUUUUCAUAAGUGAUCUGAAAAUCAAUGGAG